CCUACGGGUGGCUGCAGUGGGGAAUAUUGCACAAUGGGCGCAAGCCUGAUGCAGCCAUGCCGCGUGUGUGAAGAAGGCCUUCGGGUUGUAAAGCACUUUCAGCGGGGAGGAAGGCGGUGAGGUUAAUAACCUCAUCGAUUGACGUUACCCGCAGAAGAAGCACCGGCUAACUCCGUGCCAGCAGCCGCGGUAAUACGGAGGGUGCAAGCGUUAAUCGGAAUUACUGGGCGUAAAGCGCACGCAGGCGGUCUGUCAAGUCGGAUGUGAAAUCCCCGGGCUCAACCUGGGAACUGCAUUCGAAACUGGCAGGCUAGAGUCUUGUAGAGGGGGGUAGAAUUCCAGGUGUAGCGGUGAAAUGCGUAGAGAUCGGGAGGAAUACCGGUGGCGAAGGCGGCCCCCUGGACAAAGACUGACGCUCAGGUGCGAAAGCGUAGGGAGCAAACAGGAUUAGAUACCCCUGUAGUC
rnacentral:rRNA from 1 species